AAUCAACGCUGGUGGCGUGCCUCAGACAUGCAAGUCGAACGCGAAAGUUUCCUUCGGGAAACCGGUAGAGUGGCGCACGGGUGAGUAACACGUAGGUAAUCUACCUCCGAGUGGGGAAUAACAUCGGGAAACCGAUGCUAAUACCGCAUAAUACCUGCAAAGGUCAAAGCUUUAGUGCUUGGAGAGGAGCCUGCGGCAGAUUAGCUAGUUGGUAAGGUAAUGGCUUACCAAGGCGACGAUCUGUAUCCGGUCUAAGAGGACGGUCGGACACACUGACACUGAAUAACGGGUCAGACUCCUACGGGAGGCAGCAGUCGGGAAUUUUGGGCAAUGGGCGAAAGCCUGACCCAGCAACGCCGCGUGAAGGAUGAAGUCCCUCGGGAUGUAAACUUCGAAAGAAUAGGAAGAAUAAAUGACGGUACUAUUUUUAAGCCCCGGCUAACUCCGUGCCAGCCGCCGCGGUAA
rnacentral:rRNA from 1 species